ensembl:ncRNA T18D3.11 ncRNA
GUGACUAUAAGAAUUGAAGUAUACGUACUGCAAAAUGGCAUCCUGGAUUGUAACCAAAUAGGGAGGAAGAUACAAGAAAAUGUAU